UGAGGGCCGGCGCAUCGCGGCCCCCGGACGAGGGAUCAGUACCCGGACAGCGACAAGACUGGCCAAA
rnacentral:ncRNA from 1 species